rnacentral:rRNA from 1 species
GCAAAGCUUCGGCAGCGCUGAUAAUGUCCCUAAUCAGACUUCCAAGAAAAACUUCUAAGGUUCGUUUAUGACAGCCCGUACCGUAAACCGACACAGGUAGUCGAGAUGAGUAUUCUCAGGCGCUCGAGUGAUCCGUGGUAAAGGAACUAGGCAAAUUGACGCUGUAACUUCGGGAUAAGGCGUACCACAGUGAUGUGGUCUCAGUAAAAUGGUACAACCAACUGUUUAACAAAAACACAGGGCCCUGCAAAAUCGAAAGAUGACGUAUAGAGCCUGAUACCUGCCCGGUGCUGGAAGGUUAAGGAAGGAUGUUCGGAGCAAUCCAAAGCUUCUGACUGAAGCCCCAGUAAACGGCGGCCGUAACUAUAACGGUCCUAAGGUAGCGAAAUUCCUUGUCGGGUAAGUUCCGACCUGCACGAAUGGUCUAAUGAGUUGUACACUGUCUCUACCACGAGCUCGGUGAAAUUGUAGUAUCGGUGAAGAUGCCGGUUAAUCGCAACGGGACGGAAAGACCCCGUGAACCUUCACUACAACUUAACAUUGAUUUUGAAUGCCAGAUGUGUAGGAUAGUUGGGAGACUGUGAAGCAGCUUCGCCAGGAGUUGUGGAGUCAUCGUUGAAAUACCAACCUUCUGUUAUUUAGAGUCUAAUCCCUGCAAGGGGAGACAUUGUUUGGUGGGUAGUUUGACUGGGGUGGUCGCCUCCUAAAAGGUAACGGAGGCUCGCAAAGGUACCCUCAGUACGGUUAGUAAUCGUACGUAGAGCGCAUUAGUAUAAGGGUGCUUGACUGUGAGGCAAACAAGCCGAGCAGGUGCGAAAGCAGGCUAAAGUGAUCCGGUGGUUCUGUAUGGAAGGGCCAUCGCUCAAAGGAUAAAAGGUACUCCGGGGAUAACAGGCUGAUCUCACCCAAGAGCUCAUAUCGACGGUGAGGUUUGGCACCUCGAUGUCGGUUCGUCACAUCCUGGGGCUGGAGAAGGUCCCAAGGGUUCGGCUGUUCGCCGAUUAAAGUGGCACGUGAACUGGGUUCAGAACGUCGCAAGACAGUUCGGUCCCUAUCUGUUGUGAUCGUUAGUAAAUUGAGGAGACAUGACCUUAGUACGAGAGGACCGGGUCGUACGUACCGCUGGUGUAUCUGUUGUGCCGCCAGGUGCAGUGCAGAGUAGCUAUGUACGGACAGGAUAAACGCUGAAAGCAUCUAAGCGUGAAACCUGCUUCAAGAUGAGUUUACUUUUAAGGGCCGUCGGAGACUACGACGUUGAUAGGUUACAGGUGUAAAGGUGGUAACAUCACAGCCGAGUAAUACUAAUUGCCCGUAAGCUUUAACUUUA